GGAGGGCACUCUGGCUUUAAGUAGAGGAAAUUACUCUCCAAGAAAGGAAGCCUAGAUAGUUUUCCCUUCAAGUCAAGCGUCUUG
rnacentral:pre_miRNA from 1 species